rnacentral:lncRNA from 1 species
CUUCAUGAAUUUUGACUGUACAAAAUCGAAGAUAUGACAGGGAGUAAAUCGAAAUUUGCUCAAAUUAACAGGUGGGUAAACCAAAAUUUCCUCAAAUUACAAGGGGGUACACCUAAAUUUGCUCAAAUUACAAGGGGUGAAAUUUUCAUUGAAGGUCCAAAACCAAAAAAUCUUCAAAUUACAAGGAUGAAAUUCAAAAAAAACAUUAUACAGAGAAGAAAGUUGGACCUAUAUUACAGGAGGUAAAACACUAUUUUCCCUUUUUCUUAAUACGUGUGGAACGAGCAAAUAUCUAAGCUAUGGGAGGGAUUGAGUAUUUCAUUAACCCUCUCAAUGAUGAUGAACCAUCAUCCUUCUUCCAAGAAGUUGGUAGUAUGGCACACUAGUAAUAAAAAACAAAACGAAGGUGAAAUGAUUAAAAUGACGUCAUGUAGAUAACAACCCGCACUAGCUUAUGGUCACCACCACUGACCACACCAAAGCUUCACAAUCCGACAAAACCAUUUUCUUCUCCCAAUGUCUCAGACUCAAUGGCUCCCUUUGUAAUAUUCCUUCAAAACCGUUCCCUUUUCUUAACAACCCUCAAUAACAACAACACUCACUUCCAUUUAUUUUCAGUUUCACAUCAAAGGGUCUUCACUUCAAACUGUCUUUGAGAAAAACACACAACAAAAAAACAUAACACAAAGAGAAAGAACAUAACAUAACACAAGAGAGCUAUAGCAACAGUUUUUUAGUUUCUACUUCGAUUUAGCUACGAAAAAACAAACCUUUUGUGUUUAACCAAUUUUUUGAUAUACCCUUUUUCUGUUAACCAUUUUUUUCAUCUAAAAUGGAGAAAAUGAUACCUCUUAACAACCUUGAAUCUCGUGGGAUAGUGUAGUUUUCAUCAAAGUUUUCAUCUUUGUUUGUUUUUGCUACAAGCUUGUUCUGUAGUUAUUGUUCUUCUUUCUUUCUCUACUUUUUUACUCUCUCUCUUUCUCUCUCUCUCUCUCUCUAUAUAUACCGGAGGAUGGAAUUCCGGUGCAAGAAACUGACAGUAGUGAACUUAGAUCCAGAGAGAAAAAGAAGUGGUGGUUUGAGGACAAAACAAGCAGGGAGAGGAUCGUGUCGUGGUAGUUAGUUUCUAGGUGAAGGAAAAACAAAACAUGUUUCUUCUUUGGUUUUGAGAGUUACCCUUUUGUUC